CACGUAGGCGGAUAUUUAAGUCAGGGGUGAAAUCCCAAAGCUCAACUCUGGAACUGCCUUUGAUACUGGGUAUCUUGAGUAUGGAAGAGGUAAGUGGAAUUCCGAGUGUAGAGGUGAAAUUCGUAGAUAUUCGGAGGAACACCAGUGGCGAAGGCGGCUUACUGGUCCAUUACUGACGCUGAGGUGCGAAAGCGUGGGGAGCAAACGA
rnacentral:rRNA from 1 species